rnacentral:rRNA from 1 species
AGGCAGCAGUGGGGAAUAUUGCACAAUGGGGGAAACCCUGAUGCAGCGACGCCGCGUGAGUGAAGAAGUAUUUCGGUAUGUAAAGCUCUAUCAGCAGGGAAGAAAAUGACGGUACCUGACUAAGAAGCCCCGGCUAACUACGUGCC